rnacentral:sRNA from 1 species
CUUUCGCAAACAUAGGAGAAGUGAAAAUCCUUUUGUGCCGGAGUUCGGCAAAAAAGAUUGCAGCGCAUAGAGGGAAAUGCU